AGUGAACGCUGGCGGUAGGCCUAACACAUGCAAGUCGAACGGCAGCACAGUAAGAGCUUGCUCUUACGGGUGGCGAGUGGCGGACGGGUGAGGAAUACAUCGGAAUCUACUUUUUCGUGGGGGAUAACGUAGGGAAACUUACGCUAAUACCGCAUACGACCUACGGGUGAAAGCAGGGGAUCUUCGGACCUUGCGCGAUUGAAUGAGCCGAUGUCGGAUUAGCUAGUUGGCGGGGUAAAGGCCCACCAAGGCGACGAUCCGUAGCUGGUCUGAGAGGAUGAUCAGCCACACUGGAACUGAGACACGGUCCAGACUCCUACGGGAGGCAGCAGUGGGGAAUAUUGGACAAUGGGCGCAAGCCUGAUCCAGCCAUACUGCGUGGGUGAAGAAGGUCUUCGGGUUGUAAAGCUCUUUUGUUGGGAAAGAAAAGCAGCAGGUUAAUACCCCGCUGUUCUGACGGUACCCAAAGAAUAAGCACCGGCUAACUUCGUG
rnacentral:rRNA from 1 species